CACCUGCAAGUUUAUUUCCCUACAUGGCUUAGUUUCAAAUUUUUAACUUCUUUUGGUAAAACAAAAAAUAGAAAAAUUAUCAUUUGUAUUCACCUAUAUAUAUGAUAACUAGCUUUUCACCCGUGCGAUGCACGGCUAAUAUAAUAAUAUAAAAUAAUAAAAGUUAUUACGUGAUGAUAAAAAAAAUAUUCUAAUUAAUAUUAUAUUUUUUUAACAAAUAAAAAAAUAUACUAUCAAUCUUAAUUAUAGUACAUAUUAAAGUACACAAGCUAGAGAAAAAAAAUUUUGGACCAAAGUAAAUACUCAAGUAAAAUGCAAAAUUCAACCCUGCUCUAUUAUCUAUGAAUUGAUGUGCAAAAUAAUUUACAUUUACAUAUUGGUGUGCAAAACAAAAUGAUAACUAAAAUUGAUAUGAAAAAUUACAAAUGACAUUAAUAUUUAAGUUUAUAAUGAGAUUAACUAAACUUUCAUAUUUGACACAAAUUAGAGUAGGCACACGUAUAUUAUUUCCCUACUGUCACUUUUAAGAUUCAAAAAUAUAUAGAUGUUGGUGUUCAAGAUAAUAUAAAGAAAAAAAUUUGCAUAAAGAUAGAA
rnacentral:lncRNA from 1 species